rnacentral:rRNA from 1 species
CCCUUAGAUGUUUUGGGCCGCACGCGCGCUACACUGACGAAUGCAACGAGCUUAUAACCUUGGCCGAAAGGUCUGGGUAAUCUCCAAAUUUCGUCGUGAUGGGGAUAGAUUAUUGCAAUUAUUAAUCUUCAACGAGGAAUGCCUAGUAAGCGCAAGUCAUCAGCUUGCGUUGAUUACGUCCCUGCCCUUUGUACACACCGCCCGUCGCUCCUACCGAUUGAAUGGUCCGGUGAAGCGUUCGGACCGUGGCCUUUGGACGGUUCGCCGUCUGUUGGCUGCGGGAAGUUCGUUAAACCUUAUCAUUUAGAGGAAGGAGAANUCGUAACA